rnacentral:rRNA from 1 species
CUUUACUGCAACUUGGCAGUGAUUUUCGGGAUGUUCUGCGUAGGAUAGGUGGGAGGCUUUGAGGCCGGGCUUCUGGGUUCGGCGGAGCCAACGUUGAAAUACCACCCUGGAUAUUCUGGAAAUCUAACCUGGGCCCUUUGACGGGGUCGGGGACACUGCCUGGUGGGCAGUUUGACUGGGGCGGUCGCCUCCUAAAAAGUAACGGAGGCGUGCGAAGGUUCCCUCAGCCUGAUUGGAAACCAGGCGUAGAGUGCAAACGCACAAGGGAGCUUAACUGUGAGACCGACAGGUCGAACAGGUGCGAAAGCAGGCGUUAGUGAUCCGGUGGUUCUGUAUGGAAGGGCCAUCGCUCAUCGGAUAAAAGGUA